GGGGUUGCGGCUCAGUGGUAGAGCACUCGCCCAUCACGUGUGAGGCACUUGUUAGAUCCUCAGCACCA
rnacentral:tRNA from 1 species